rnacentral:rRNA from 1 species
GACGAACGCUGGCGGCGUGCCUAAUACAUGCGAGUAGAACGCUGAAGGAGGAGCUUGCUUCUCUGGAUGAGUUGCGAACGGGUGAGUAACGCGUAGGUAACCUGCCUGGUAGCGGGGGAUAACUAUUGGAAACGAUAGCUAAUACCGCAUAAUAGUAGAUGUUGCAUGACAUUUGCUUAAAAGGUGCAAUUGCAUCACUACCAGAUGGACCUGCGUUGUAUUAGCUAGUUGGUGGGGUAACGGCUCACUAAGGCGACGAUACAUAGCCGACCUGAGAGGGUGAUCGGCCACACUGGGACUGAGACACGGCCCAGACUCCUACGGGAGGCAGCAGUAGGGAAUCUUCGGCAAUGGACGGAAGUCUGACCGAGCAACGCCGCGUGAGUGAAGAAGGUUUUCGGAUCGUAAAGCUCUGUUGUAAGAGAAGAACGAGUGUGAGAGUGGAAAGUUCACACUGUGACGGUAUCUUACCAGAAAGGGACGGCUAACUACGUG